CCCGUCUCAGGGUCAUUUCUGGAGAGUUUCCAGUAUUCUACCAGUCUUGACUACGGGAGGCAGAGUCAAGCAGAGGCAUAUCCAUUCUAUUCCUAGCUUAGGCAGUGAUUAGCGAAUAGAAGGCAAUCUGCUACAGGU